UGAGAAGGAAAAUUCUACAGUAUAAAAUAUAAAACCCACAAGCAAACGACAUUCAAAUACUUUUGACUCAAGCAAAGCAAACUACAAGUUGUCAAAUCGAGUAUGAUAGCACUACUAACAACUGGAAGGACCACGACCUACUGCACCACGUGCAAACUUCAGCAGUUACGUUAAUUCAUUUAACACCAACAUUAGUGGAGCGCAUCCAUGAUUUUCGGGUGUCACCUUAAAUAACUGCGAAUGCGUUUUCCCAAAACGACACAAACCGACUUCCAAGGAACCUUCGCUUUCGAAAUGAACUUCCUUUCCUGUAAAUCCUCUAAGUUUCUCUUUGACCGUGAUAAUUGGUUAGAAACACCGGGAAUUCCCCAAAGAGCCUAUAAAUACAACCUGCGCCCACUUUUUCUAACAGAAUGAGUUCCCUUCCUGGCGUCGCUCAGCAGACCACACCAAAUCAGAGAGGGGGCGUGCACCAACAAUGUAGCUUCAGGUUGUGCAUUGCCUACUGCGCAUGCGCUGGCUCCAAUGGCAGCUCCCAUAUCGGCCUUCAAAAAUUCAAAGUGGGAGUUAACAGUGAUGUACCCUCCAUUGUAUAUAGUCUAUGUGCUAAACCAACACAUAGAACUUGAAAGGUCCUAUUAAUCAUUUAUGAGCUUGGGCAAGGUACAGGGGCACGACGCUGAGUCAGCCAUCAUGGCGAAGGUCUGCAGCCGGCUGUGCAUCUGGAUCAUUAGGACCACUCCGCUCCAUCCGCAGAGCAGUGGCCUCGUGGAAUGUUUCAAUGAUGCCACCAACCACCACUGUGCUGCUCCACCAUGCAGGUGUCAGGUGGGACCAAGGACUCCCAGAAUCUGUGAGCCUCUCUGCAACUCUGUUUAAUGUAGUUUAAAGAUUAAUCUUUAAAUAGUUGAUUUGUGUUUGUUUGGUUCUGUUUGACUUUGUCUCUCUUUUUGUUAAGAAUUAGUGUGUUAGAAUUGUCACUAUCGUCAUGCAGUGUUUAGUUGUUAAUACGCGCCCCCCCCACCCCCAACCAUUAAUAAGCCCUCAUCCACAUUUGGUUCCGGUUCCCGUUUUUGUUUUGUUGUCUAUGUGUGAAACACUUGAAACACUUGAAUA